rnacentral:miRNA from 1 species
CGUUUAGGUCCCUUAACUUUA